rnacentral:rRNA from 1 species
UGGGGAAUUGUUCGCAAUGGGGGCAACCCUGAUCCAGCAAUGCCGCGUGUGUGAAGAAGGCCUGCGGGUUGUAAAGCACUUUCAGUAGAGAAGAAAAGCCUAAGGUUAAUAACCUUGAGUCUUGACGUAACCUACAGAAGAAGCACCGGCUAACUCCGUGCCAGCAGCCGCGGUAAUACGGAGGGUGCAAGCGUUAAUCGGAAUUACUGGGCGUAAAGCGCACGUAGGUGGUUUUGUAAGUCGGAUGUGAAAGCCCUGGGCUCAACCUGGGAAUUGCAUUCGAUACUGCUUAACUAGAGUAUGGUAGAGGGAAGUGGAAUUUCCGGUGUAGCGGUGAAAUGCGUAGAUAUCGGAAGGAACACCAGUGGCGAAGGCGACUUCCUGGGGCCAAUACUGACACUGAGGUGCGAAAGCUAGGGUAGCAAACGGGAUUAGAUACCCAAGUAGUCCCUGAGCGGGCUGGCAAGGCGCAU